CUGUAAUGCUGCAGCAUAUCAAGACAAAUCAGGCAGUAAGGAAUGCAUAUUCUGACAAAUGCCCAGUUGGAUGGUCCUACUAUUCCGGUCGCUGCUACUUGUACAAUGGCGACAAACUGGAUUGGGCUUCUGCAGAGAAAUUCUGUCAGGAUUUUGAUGCACACUUGGUCUCAAUACACAACGAGAAUGAACAUCAGCAGAUAAAGGCUCUUAUCCGAGCUCAUGACCUCACGGAGGAUCUAACAUACAUCGGCCUCAGUGACUGUCAGAAG